rnacentral:rRNA from 1 species
AACGAACGCUGGCGGCAUGCCUAACACAUGCAAGUCGAACGAGCACUUCGGUGCGAGUGGCGAACGGGUGAGUAACGCGUGGGAAUCUGCCUCAAAGUGGGGAAUAACCAACGGAAACGGUGGCUAAUACCCCAUACCCCCUGCGGGGGAAAGUUUUUCGCUUUGAGAUGAGCCCGCGUCGGAUUAGGUUGUUGGUGAGGUAAAAGCUCACCAAGCCUGUGAUCCGUAGCUGGUCUGAGAGGAUGAACAGCCACACUGGGACUGAGACACGGCCCAGACUCCUACGGGAGGCAGCAGUGGGGAAUAUUGGACAAUGGGGGAAACCCUGAUCCAGCAAUGCCGCGUGAGUGAUGAAGGCCUUAGGGUUGUAAAA